UUUUGUUUUCAUAUCUUUUCUCCCUCCAUCUUGAGUUUCCUGAGAGUGUCUCAGAUCUGAAACUCCUCCUUCUACUUUCCAUCUUUGGAAGAGUCCAAAUCAAGAAGAAGGAGGCACCGAUCAACUAUUAAAGAAGGAUCAGCGCAGUACUAGCAUACUGUGCUGAUUUCCUGAAGCAGGACUUCUGAUCAAGAUUUGUGGGCUCGUGUGGAUGACUCCUAG
rnacentral:lncRNA from 1 species